rnacentral:rRNA from 1 species
AGAUUGAACGCUGGCGGCAGGCCUAACACAUGCAAGUCGAGCGCGAAAGUUCCUUCGGGAAUGAGUAGAGCGGCGGACGGGUGAGUAACGCGUAGGAAUUUGCCCAGUAGUGGGGGACAACUCGGGGAAACUCGAGCUAAUACCGCAUACGCCCCAAGGGGGAAAGCAGGGGAUCUUCGGACCUUGCGCUAUUGGAUAAGCCUGCGUCGGAUUAGCUAGUUGGUGGGUAAGGGCCUACCAAGGCAACGAUCCGUAGCUGGUCUGAGAGGAUGAUCGAGCCACACGUGGACUGAGACACCGGCCAGACCUCCGACGGAGCAGCAGGUAGGGAAUAGUGGACAAGGUGGGGACCAACCGUGACUCCGAGCCAGUCGCCGCGUU